UAUUUUUUUUUUUUGUGCUUACGUACAAGAUUAUUAUCGGGAUAAAUUUCACACCAGAUCGGCUUGAUUUAUUUAGGAUAAAUAAUUCUAGAGUGCUCCUCAAGAGAGUUCAACCCUAGUUGAUUGGGAGCUCCUAUCCUUAUCAACUAGACUAACUCUGUUGGUUAAAAUUAUUAAUUUUUAUAGAUCAUAAAGAAAGCUUAUGUCUUGUUCUUAAUUAAAGCUUAAUUUUACAUGCAAAUUUUUUGCAGUUGUUAACUGUUGAAGAAGGAA
rnacentral:misc_RNA from 1 species